UACGUAGGUGGCAAGCGUUGUCCGGAUUUAUUGGGUUUAAAGGGUGCGCAGGCGGUCUAUUAAGUCAGUGGUGAAAUAUGGCAGCUCAACUGUCAAGGUGCCAUUGAUACUGAUGGACUUGAGUGAAGUCGAAGUAGGCGGAAUUGACGGUGUAGCGGUGAAAUGCUUAGAUAUCGUCAAGAACACCGAUAGUGAAGACAGCUUACUAGGCUUAUACUGACGCUGAGGCACGAAAGUGUGGGGAUCAAACAGG
rnacentral:rRNA from 1 species